rnacentral:rRNA from 1 species
UACGGUAGGGUGCAAGCGUUGUCCGGAAUUAUUGGGCGUAAAGAGCUCGUAGGCGGUUUGUCGCGUCUGCUGUGAAAACGCGAGGCUCAACCUCGCGCCUGCAGUGGGUACGGGCAGACUAGAGUGUGGUAGGGGAGAUUGGAAUUCCUGGUGUAGCGGUGGAAUGCGCAGAUAUCAGGAGGAACACCGAUGGCGAAGGCAGAUCUCUGGGCCAUUACUGACGCUGAGGAGCGAAAGCGUGGGGAGCGAACAGG